AUGUUUAGGAAUUCUCUACAACCUGCUCGACCAGAACAUUAAAACCAAUACGCAGGUUCACAAUUUCCCUGGUGUUGGCGCAAUAUUCGCGCACCCCGGCCUAGGU
rnacentral:sRNA from 18 species